rnacentral:lncRNA from 1 species
AUGUCACCUGAUGGAUUACUAGAGACAGAAGUUGCUCCAGACUCUGAACUUUCAACCAAACCUCAAUUUAUGUUCUCCACCUGUAUGGUUCCACCUCGACCCACUACUGCAGACCUUGAAGCAGAGCUGAUCACGGCAGUAGCCCCCACAAUCAAGGAAGAACCAGAGGAUUUCGAUAAUGGAACAGAUCCACCAUUGUUUGAAAGUUUUUUUCCUGAUGACUCUGACCCUGAGGAACCUCCUGGUGAUGUGAUCACAAAUCCACACAUCACAGCAGAUAUCACUGAUUCUACAGCGUCUGAUCCAGAUGACCACUCAGUGAUUGAGAUCAGCACUAUUCAACCUGAUGUACCAAUGCCAGGUGCUUCUCUAAGCACAAAGACCAUGUUUGCUAUAGGUAAUACAGAAAAGACCAUUCCGGAUUCUAAGAUUGCCACAUCAGUUAUCCACGAUCUCACAAAUACUCUUACAGAAUUCAGUGAAUCAAUACCUACGGAAAAGUUGGGCAUCUCAGAAACAACACUGUCAACUGCAACUCCUAGUUUUGAAUCAACAACACCAUUCCUAGAUUAUGAGGGGAUUGGGAAUAAUGUGAAAGUUGAGGGUUUACCACCAACCCAGAAAGAAGAUAUUUCAUCCAGUAGAUCAGACAGCAACGGUAUUAGUACUACUGUGGAAACAACAACAUCUCCUUCCACCAGCACAAUCUUUACACUUGUAACAAAGACAAGAACCACAGAAACAACAGAAUCCACUGACACUAGAAAACAAACUACACCUAAAACACAGGGUGCCAUCUCUCUUGCCAAAUCUAUAACUCCUGGAGCUGAUGGCAGUAAGGCUGACAGAACUGCAGCUCAACGUGCAACAUCACCAGAACUUACCGAUGAUUCCCUGAUUGGGGGCGAUGCAGCAGCAAAUACUGAGUCAAAGUCAUCGAUGUCCACUUCUUCGGCAUCAGCUGUCCCCGACAUUCGCACUUCUCCAGCUGCAGUGGUCACUGAGGGGCAGCCCCGGCAAACAAGUCCCAUCAUCCAGAGCCAGAAUGCUUCAGCUGAACAGACUUCAACAACACAAGUAUCUCAAUCCUCUACAGUGCCAUUUGUGUCUGACCUUCCCAUCCCCUCCAUAGCUGAUGGACAGCCUGUCAUGUUAAAUGGAGACUUACACCACAUUGUUCAAGCUCUUGUGACCAUGAUUCCAGAGACCAGAUUUUCACAUGAACAAGAAAAAAGCACCAAAGAGACACAUGCAUCUACAGUGGCAUCUACAAAGGUCCCAGAUGACGUUCACUAUAUUUUUUCUGAUUCAACAAAUUCUUUUGAAGACGACAAACUGAUCACAAAGGGUCCUAUGCAGAACAACUCUACCUCAAUGAUGUUAUCUACAGAGGUGAAAAAAGCCUCAUCAACAGCGAUACAAAAAACUGACUCAGUUGUUUUAAAAGGCACUGACUCUGCUCUAAAGUUAACGCUAGCUGAACAACUAAGCCCUACAACAACAACAACACACAAAAUACAAAGUGCUUCAGUCUCACCUACAGACCAAGUUACUACUGAUAAAAUACCUUCAUCUAAGGAGGAUGAUUCAGAAGUCAAAACAGCAACAUUGGCAACAACAAGCCUAUUGUUAAAUACCUCUGGACAGACAGUAAAAAUAUUUUCAACAAUAAGCCCCAAACAUAUAUCUGAUCAAGAUUCAAUGAAAAGUGAAACCACAGCAACAAUAUCACUAGCAGGAACAAAUAAAUCAUCAGAUCUUCAGAAUGGUGGCACAAAAACAGAUAACUUCACCACAAAAACACAAGAGAGGAAACAAUCUGAAACAACAAAUCUAAAUUCUUUCUAUAAAGCUUUUGAAGUGAUUAAAACUACAAUGGCACCUAUAACUCAGUUUUUUAGUGAACAUUCGUCUCAGAGUCAAUCGAUAACAGGUGAAUUACCUGUUAAACCAGUGACUACAAGUGAAGAAUCUACAACAGAUGAAACUAUAUCAGCCCAAAAACUUGUCUCAACUUUAUCUGCUGAAAGUGACUUAGGAUCACUGCCUAUAAAAACAAAACCAGAAAUUUUUGGACACAGUGUAACCAAUUCUGCGAAUUUGUCAGUUAUUACACCAACUACAACACUUCCUAGGGAUUUUACUCUAUUGUCCUCUCUCACUUUAUCAAACAUUGCUAAAUCGGGUGAGAAUUUCAAAACUGUUACUAAAGCUUCACCACUAGAAAAUCAACACAGCUUGGCUGAUCAGACAAUAGAGACAUCUACCAACAACAGAGCAUUUUCUACAGCUUCGACAUUGUUCAUCGCUGAAAAGAGAACAGCAGCACCAAUUGAGAAGGAUUACGACCUUGUUACUCAUCAGACAGCAAUGUCUUCACUAUCUCCUUUAAUAAGCAUUGAAGGCAAAUCUACCAUAACCCUUGCAGAACAAAAAAGCUCUGGAAGUGAAACUCCAAGCACAAUGAGCUCAACCACGUCAGUCAGUGAUGCAUCUUCAUUUCCACAUGCAAGCUCUUUGGCAGAAGUAACAUCCUCUUCAAAAACAUCAUCAAAAACUGAUGAAACAA